CUCAAGUAUUUCUUUACCGGAAUGAAAUGGAUGUACUAGCUAAUUUAUUUUCUUAUAGUGAACUUGAACGUGCAAAAAUGACCACAACUCAAAGUCUUAACAUAUUUUUAGGUCAUAUGCAAUCUGUUUGUGAAGUAGGAAACUUCUUAUCAAUAUUACAAGAUACAGCCUAAACAGGAAUAGUGCAUUUUUUUUAGUGACAAUGACCUUGAACUUGCAAACAUGAUCUAUAUGUUUAAAAUCAUGAAAAUACUCAUGCCAUAAGCAAUCUUUGUGUGAUGUAGGAACUUUCCAUGUUUCUCCAUAAGAAAGAUAUAGAACAGACAUGAAUUAUGCGCUUUUCCUUCCAGUGACCUUGAACUUGUCCUAAUGACCUUGGCUUAAGAUCAUAACACAGCCUCAGUUCAUAAUUUAGCAAUCUUUACAGGAAUAGGAAUUUCCAAUUUUCUUCAUAAGAAAGAUAUAGACCGGACACAAAUUAUGCACUUUUCCUUCCAGGGACCUUAAACUUGCACAUAUGACCUUGGGUCAAAAUCAUGACAUAGCCUAAGGUCACAUAUGGACCGGACAUGAUUGCAUGCACAAACAGAAGGGCAGGCGGACCAUAUGAUGCAGACAAUGUGAUUCCUAUAUAAAUAUCCUUUCUUUCCAAUGCUCUUCUCAGAAUAUAUACAACUGCAGAAAUAUUGGUCACUUGUCUUCAUUUAUUUUACCAUCAUAAUCAUUUAAUAAUUUUAAUGAGUUAAUGUCCAUCAAUUGAUACAAAAGGAAAAUAGAAUAAUCACUGUCAAUUGAUGACUUGUUAUUUGACUGCUUAGAUGAUGCUUCAUCCUAGGUAAAUAAUUUCAUAUCAUUUAGUAAAAUUGGAUGUGUAAUCACUUUGCUAUAUGUGAAUUGACAAUAAAUAUAAAUAAUUGAAAGCUAUGUUUAAAAGUUAUUUAAUAUUGCUGUGUUAAUAUUCAUAAAUAUUUAUUUAAUAUAAAAAUUGAUAUUGCUACGCGAUAUAAGUAUCUGCAGUUAAUAAAUCAAAUAUACAUUCUGGUACCCAUGCAGGUAUGAAUUUAAGUUCUCCUAAAGAAAUUGUACCUUAAAAUUAGGCUAUUACUGGGGACUACAUUUUCCUUAGUGUACCACUUUUCCUCAGCAUUACCAUGCAAAGUUUAAUGGACCAGUUGAUAAAGGGAAAUAAAUUAUCAAAUAUUCUAAAAACUUAAAUAGAAAUAAGAAAAUUUUUCCUCUGGGUACUUAAUUUUUCCUGGAUGAUCAGGACAGGGGGAAAAAUGUAUAAUUUUCUUGAGGAUGGCCUUAGUUUAAUUCAAUAACUACAUAUUUGUCAAUUAUAGUAUCUAUUUCAAACUUGCGUACAUCCAGUGACCAAGAACUCUCUCUGACUUUCCCUCUCUCUUCAGCAUUGAAGUAAUAGUUGUUACAAGAACCUGUAAGAGUUAAUCCCCUUGAAGUUUAGACUCUCCAGCCAAACAAAGAAAAUGGCAGCCAUUAUGGACAAUGUCCACUGCAUGGGGAGCAAAUUCAAGUCUAUUCAGCAGUGGACCUUAGGUUGGAAAAAAAAAUUGGAGAGUUGUUUUAUGAAACCCUGAAGCAGUGGUGGAUGAAAAUAACAGAUUGAUAAAAAGAUUCCGGAUAAGCAUAUGGGAUCUUCUUGAGCAAUUCAACAAGGUUAUGAUCAAGUUCCAAUCAAAAUGCACAAGCAGCCAACGGAAUUUAUGGUCAAGGAGCAAGUAAUCACUGAACAUGCAACCAAAGUGAGAUAAUUUUUCUGAGACACAGGAAAGGUCAAGAAAAUUAUUUCCAGACACGGAGGAAAUUUUCCUUGAUGUUAUUCAUCUUUCCCAUCUUCAACCGAAAGAGCGAAAUGCGAAGAUAAAUGUUUACUUAAUCCUGUCUAUCAUCCAUCAGCUGGUAUUAUCCUGAGAGACAACGCUACAACCAGAACCUGACUUUCACUGCAUCCAACAUGGCGACCCACAUACUACACACAAGAUCAUCAAUGUCCAUUCCAGACAGUCUAUUUAGAGCUUGUCUUUAAUCAACCUUGAACUCCAACAACUGACAAAUGCUUGUCUGACCUACAAAAGUUAGUCUCAGUAGAAAAUGUCCAACGAUUACAUACAAGUCACCGGUAAGCCGGAAACCAGGUAAAAUCUCUCAGUAUAAUUCCAGUUAAGAUGCCCCAGAUGGGAUUUAAUUGAAUAAGAAUUUUAAAGAAGAAGAAAAAGAGAAAGAGAUAUGAUUAAAUUUGUUGAUGAUUCAGCAAUGUUCGUAUUUGUUGUGGUUGAGUACAUUUACAAUUAAAUAAACAUGUAAAUCAA